UACGUAGGGCGCAAGCGUUAUCCGGAAUUAUUGGGCGUAAAGAGCUCGUAGGCGGUUUGUCGCGUCUGCCGUGAAAGUCCGGGGCUCAACUCCGGAUCUGCGGUGGGUACGGGCAGACUAGAGUGAUGUAGGGGAGACUGGAAUUCCUGGUGUAGCGGUGAAAUGCGCAGAUAUCAGGAGGAACACCGAUGGCGAAGGCAGGUCUCUGGGCCGGCACUGACGCUGAGGAGCGAAAGCGUGGGUAGCAAACAGG
rnacentral:rRNA from 1 species